CACACACAAGCCAAUACGUGAUCAAAUUAAAUAGUUUUUGAAACCUGAAAGUCAUGUGAAACAGUAGGACUCGACUUGUUUCAUGCAGUAUAAAAAGAUUUUCUUGAGGAAGAAAUUUUUUGUGAUAGAUAGCAAAAGCUUGACUUGUUCAAGCAGAUUCAGCGAUAGAAUAAAUAAUAAUAUGAGUUUAUGAGGUCGUGAUGGAAUGAUAUCGUGGGUGCCAAGAAAGUGAGAGAAAAACCAAGAAAUGUUAUAAACAAAUAAAGAGUUCUUGACUUGGAGAUUUUUAAGUGUAGAUAUCAAUGGAAAGAAAUAAAGACUCCAGUUUUGUUACAGCUAUUAAUAUGCAGAACUUCCUCAUUCAAGUUCAAGAAGAUAGACGUCAAUCUACAAACCCUAUCGAGGUUCUCUCUCUCACUCUUGAACCUGUUUCUUGUUUUAUAUUUUCUUUCCCCAUCAUCGUUUUCCAUCAAGAUUCUCUGCAAUUCCCUGAACUCAUUUCUUGUUUCUUUAAAGUUCCUGAUCUAAGUCAACUGACACCAUUUUUCUCUCCGAGGUAGCAUUUCCGGCCCAUAUCCGUUCUUGCUUCUUCAUUUCUUGUUCUUGAUCUUCCUCAUUAAUCCUCUAAGUAACUAAUUUCGUGUAUCUUUUAGUGUGUAGCUCAUGACAUCUACUAGGAGUUCAUUUGCUAAAGUGUCAACCUAAUUGCUUUGUUUUCUUUUGCAGGUUCAAGAAUCAAGCAUUCAGAUCGAGACUGCAAAGGUGGCGGCGCAAUUUGUUCAGAGGCUUUUCCGAGUCCUUUUCUUCGUACACAUAAUCCUAACCACCAUCCUAGUAAUCUUCCUCACCAUCCGUGGCCUGCUCUCUGUACACAGCCACCAUUUCCACCCCAAGAAGUGGUAUCCCCCACUCCUGACUGCAAUAGCAUGCUCUGGAAUUGUAGCUUUCACUUGGCAACAAAUCACCCUCUGCUACCCUUCAAAGGCCAUAAGAGCAGCAUUUUGGCUUAGCCCCUUGCUAACAUGUGCAGUUGGGAUACUGCUGGUGCUAAUUGGCUCUGCUGCAAGUCUGGCACUAGGUACAAUUGCGGUUGUUUUUGCCCUCAUUCAAUCCCUUUAUGCUUGUUGGGUGAAUCCCAGAUUCAAUUAUGCCAUCAAGGUUCUAUCAGUUUCUACAACUUUCCCGCCUGCCAAAACUACUGCACUGGUCCUCAACUCGAUUGUCACAAGCAUCAUCUAUUCCAGCUUCUUGGUGUCUGGGAUAGGCGGUGCCACCAUUACUGGAACUGGAAUAGAUAUCUUGUUCAUUUUGAUGAUCCUGCUGAGCCUGACAUGGACUCUGCAAGUGAUGAAAAACACAUUGCAGGUUACAGUUGCACGCAUUAAGUACUUACACUUUGCUUGUGGGGCAGAUAUGGACACAAGAGUUGCUUUAAGAGACACAUUCAAACACCUGAUGGGGAGUGUUUUCAUAGGCUCCACCCUUGUCCCGAUUCUUACUGUAAUCCGGGGCUCUGCACGUGCAAUUAAUCUGGUUGCAGGGGGUACAGAUGAGUUUUUGUUCUCCUGUGCUGACUGCUAUUCUGCUAUAGCUUCAACACUAGUGACCUACGGAAAUAGGUGGGGUUUUGUGCAGGUAGGGGUUUACAAUAAGGGAUUUAUGCAGGCAUCCAUGGAUACAUGGGAGACGUUCAGGAGAGUAGGGAUGGAAUCACUAAUUGAUUCAGACCUCACAGGGUCAUUCUGUUUCUUUUCUGGGAUAGCAGGAGGUGCAGUAUGCACCCUGGUGGGAGGAACAUGGACACUUCUAGUUCAUGAGAGUUAUGCAACCGAAGUUUCAAUUUAUGGCUUCUUGAUAGGCUAUCUAAUGGUAAGAGCUCAGCAAGCAGUUGAACCAUAGAAAGACUUUGUAAACAAUUUCUUUCCAAAAAAUAAAAUAAAAAUGGAAACUGACCAGGUUUGAUGUCAAUGUUUGUGUUCCUCAGUGUCGGAUAGCAAUGGCGUGGCCACAAGCAUGCGUUUCAGCUUACUACGUUGCUUAUGCAGAGAAUCCACAAGGCCUACGGUUCGACCCGACCAUUCCAGUUCGCAUUCAAGAGCUUCAGAGACAUGGAGGUUAACAAUCCUGGAAGCCAACUUUGACAUGGUUUACUGAUAUGGACUUACGGUUACAUCGAGUCCAAAAUCUUGCACUGGAUAUACCACUAAAGAUUAUUCAAUUGAUACUUAGAAACAUGUGAAUUUCUCAAAUUUCCACUUUUUGGUUUAAGAAUGACUUACACUUAUGCUGUAAAUCAGUUUUCUUUUAGAUUGAAUCUCAUCUCUAAUUUUUUCUGUUUUAGUAAGCUUUGGAAGUGCUAAUGCAGAUAAUCCUCCAAAACAUCAAAUUUCACUCAAAUAAAUAUGUACUAUGGUCAUAAACCAGAAUCCCACCAGAAAUCAGGUCACAAAGGAUUAUAUAACAAUGACGCAAAGGUCAAAACUUUGCAAUUAAUUUGAUUCUAGGUGAACCAUGAUUUCCAACUCCGUUUUCAGCUAUAAUGUUUAUUGUUAAGAAAGCAAAAUAGCAAAAGCAGAUGCGUCCAUCAUGUUUCAAUGUACUAAAUGGACAAACAGAAGCAAAAUGAAGCCAACUCAUAGUUUGUCCAUAAAGUAAAUGCAGAUCAAUACCUUUAAAAAAAAUUGAGGCAUGAAAACAUUAAGAAAUGAAUUGAGUCAAACACACUAAAUUUUUGCAUAAAAUUUAUCACAAAUCAUCAAAGAUGGAACCGUACAAAACCUCUAUAAUAAAUGUGACCUUUAAUUUGUAAAUGUUAGAACAAACAAGGCUACAACAAAAUCCCAGGAAGAAAAGCAAACCAUGCAGGUCAUUUGGGUCCAAGAUGACCACGCCCACCACAUUCUGAGCACAUAACGUUACCUGUCCCUCCACAGCCUACCAAAAAAACAAAUAUCAAAUGAGAAUAAUUUUUCUUUGCCAAAUACAAGACAGUAUAUUAAGAUAACCAAUAAUCAGGUAACCACAUUAUUUUUCUUCAUAAGCAACAAUCAUGACUGAAGUACAGUAGAAAAGCAAAUCAUGAUUGAGAACUUCCCACAGUCACAGGUGUAUUCUCCAAUAUCCAACAAAUUAAAGUCUUCCUUUAGACUUAACUCCAACGUUCUCUACUUUAGAAAAGUGUUUCAGUAAAAAUUCAAAUGCAACCACAACUAUUUUCAGUUUCAGAUUAUUUAUUCCUAAUACUCCAAUGUUUCAAUAUCUAAUAUCAAAACUAUUAUUUAUUAUUACUAAAAUCAUAAGAUUAUCGUAUCCCCCAUAAUAAAGAUAACAGGAAUGGUAGAUUCCCCCAGGAAAAAAGAUUACAACAAGCCCUGGAUUAUCCUAAUUAAGUCUAAGUAGCCAAGUUAUCCAGUUGUAACUCCAGGAUUUCAACAAUUCUCAAGAAAUUGUGGAUUUGCUUUCAACAAAAUUAAUUCAAGGUAGUACAUGGGAACCUAGUCAUACAAAGAGACAUGAGCAUUGGAAUGCAUAUAAGGCCCUCAUUCACAAUAUGGUCAAAAUUGAAUUGGAUGGACAUGAAUACAACAAAAAUACGUAAAGAGAGGUCUAUUUUAAUCAACCAUGGUCCAUGAUGGAGAAAUAACACUACUAAUAACAAUAUUGCUGAAUAGCUUAAUCAAAGAAUUGCUUCUGAGAAUUUAUGUUUUUGUUGCAUUAGAUAUAGGAGCACAGUGGAGCCAUAGCAGUCAACAAAUUCAUCUGUUAUCAUAUGCCAUUUGAAGAGAGCAAAUUUACCUAGCCAGCGGACUUUUACUAUGAUACCCUGGCUCUCCAAUGUAGAGUCAACAUAUAACCCUGAACCUGAGCAAGUGGUGCAAAGAAGUGCACCUUUGGCAUCACAAUCAGUGCAUCGCUGAUUAUCUCCAAUUCUUUCAUACCAACCGGCUUCUCAAUUCUCUCCUCCCAUAUGGGCUUAUCAUAACAAAAUAGAUAUUCAAGCCUGCUUCUUUGUUUAGGUACAUCUGCCACUUCCCUCGAUUAUAUUACUUCAAUAUUACUACUUUCAUUACUAUAUGCACAAAGGCUAACACACUGGUCAUAUUCUACUCUUGCUUCAAGAUCGAGCAAUAUGGAUAAUUAAGAUAGCCUUUUACAAGGCUUUAAACAAAGGAAGCAUAAAUAAAGCAGCAUGGUGUACUACCAAAAUCAAAACAUUAAUAAAUUUGAGAAACACUCAAUUCAAGUAAAAAAAACACUAUAUUAAAUCUCAAUAAUAUUAUACCAAAAAAAAAAUCUCACUUAUCCGUCGAAACAAUUACGUGCUUUUUCAAUAUGGUAUCUUUUAAUUCUGGGCAUAAAUAUUCACAACCAUAAGUAUUAAAAGCAAAUGCAAUUAUAAAAUCAAUGACUAUAUGCAAUGAUCAUUACCCAAAUAAUAGGAACAAAUAUUUAAAACGAAAGAUGCAUAACCAAAAGUUUUGAUUCAUUAAAAAUGAAUGCAAUAUGUAAAAUUAAAAUAAAUAAAUAACCAAAAGGAUAAUACUAAAACACUAACAACAAAGACUACUAAAAAAGUGAAAUGAGAUAGCAAUCAAAACCAGCAAUUGAAUAUCCAAAAAAUCAUUACCCAGAUGCCAAUUCUCUUCAACAGAGCACAAUCUACAACGAAAGAAACUAUAGACCAAAACAUAAAAAUGAAAGAAAGAAAGAAAGA
rnacentral:misc_RNA from 1 species